UACGUAGGGGGCAAGCGUUGUCCGGAUUUAUUGGGCGUAAAGAGCGUGUAGGCGGCCAGGUAGGUGGGUUGUGAAAACUGGAGGCUCAACCUUCAGACGUCGACCCAAACCCCCUGGCUAGAGUUCGGUAGGGGAGACGUGGAAUUCCUGGUGUAGCGGUGAAAUGCGCAGAUAUCAGGAGGAACACCGGUGGCGAAGGCGGGUCUCUGGGCCGAUACUGACGCUGGAGGAGCGAAAGCGUGGGGAGCAAACAGG
rnacentral:rRNA from 1 species